AUUGGCUUCCUUCUACAAGCAUCCAUAUAGCUCAAACCCUAACCAUUCAUCAACCUUAUCUGUCUUCACUCCGGCGAACGGCGAUGUCUCACUUCGGUAGAUCAGGCCCACCGGACAUCAAAGACACCUACUCUCUGCUCGUUCUCAACGUUACUUUUCGUACCACUGCUGAUGACUUGUUUCCUCUAUUCGAUAAGUAUGGAAAAGUUGUCGAUGUCUUUAUCCCUAGAGACCGAAGGACUGGAGAUUCUAGGGGUUUUGCAUUUGUGCGCUACAAGUAUCAGGAUGAGGCUCAAAAAGCAGUGGAAAAGCUUGAUGGAAGAGUUGUAGAUGGUCGGGAAAUCAUGGUUCGAUUUGCGAAGUACGGCCCUAAUGCUGAGAGAAUUGACAAAGGUAGAAUUUUGGAGCCUGUACAAAGGCCAAAAGGGAGGUCAAGAAGCCGUAGUCCUAGACCAAGGCAUCGUGAUCAUAGGGACAAGGAUUCUAGAAGGAGAAGCCGAAGUAGAAGUAGAAGUAGAAGUAGGGGAAGGUAUGAGCGUGAUCAGUACCGUGGAAGAGACAGAGAUAACCGUCAUCGGAGCAGAAGCCGCAGCCCUGAUUACCACAGAGGUCGUGGGAGAGGUAAAUAUGAUGAGGACAGGCGCAGCCGAAGUCGGUCUCAUGGAAGAAGUGCCUCCCCUGCUCGCCGUAGCCCCAGUCCUCGAAGGAGCCCUUCUCCACGAAGAACAACUCCUCCUAGGGAUGCUAGUCCAGAUGGACGUAAUCACAAGGACCGGUCUCCAACUCCAAAGAGUAUAUCACCGCGGGGUAGACGUGCUGGUUCUCGCAGCCCCUUGCCACGUUCUGAUGCUGAUGAUUGAGGAGCAAGGGAGGAGCCACAGUUGUAAUCUGGCUUUGCUUGAUGCUGCGUAUCAGGACAUUCCUAAGUGAAUGAUCCUUUCAUCUGUAUUCUGCUUGCUAGAACUGGUUGGCCAGACUUAUUUAUAAGUUGGGUCCGUGAAAAGUCAAUGUGGCUGAAUCACAAGACGAUGCAGCAGCUGUUGAUGCUGUUAUAUUUGCUGUUGGUUGUAAUUUUGUUGCCGUUCACAAACUACUGUUUCUUCGCUGAAUGGCAAGGAGAUGCAGCAGCUGUAGAUGCUGUUUUAACUUGGCUGCUUAUAAUUUGUUGCUGGUGACAUACUACUGUUUGUUGGUUGAAUGCAAGCAGAUGCAGCAGCUGUUGGUGCUGUUUUAGCUUUGCUGUUGUAUUUUUGUUGCUGGUGACAAAUUACAUUUUCUAUACAGAUGUUCUGGAUUCUCAUGAUCGGUAAGGGUAAGAAACUCAUGAAUUACUGAAGUUGCACUAGGUUAAUGCCCUUUGGCCUGACAGUCAUUUCGUUUUUGUCUCAACUUCAUAUUCUGCCCUGAGAAGGUGUUAGCUGUGAUUUUAAGAUGAAAGGAAUCCACAUGUCUAAGUGUAGCAGUUGAAGUUGAUUCCAGGGCGAGAUUUGUUAUGCCGAGUAAAGAUUUCGAUAUAAGAUCUAAUCUCAAUGAGUUCCAAGGGUAGUGGUUUGACCAUAAACAUCUUGCAGACUUAAUUCUUUAUUCAUCUUAAAAUGAACAAAUAAUAUUAAAUUUCCCAAUCACUUAUACUUUGUUCUAGUGUCUCUAUUUGCUUUAUGGUCUUGAAAGUGUUCUUCAAGUACAUAGCACACACCUAUACAGUGCAUGAUUUCAUGCUUAUACUUGUGAAGUUCUAGCUGAUAUCUGUAGAUCUGUUGUUGCUGUUGGCUGAUUGCUUAUCAAACUGAUCCUGGUUUUUGGUGUUGAUGGUUUGCUUGAUGUGUUUAAUUGGAUCCUCUGCACGUGCCUUCUGAAGGAGCUUAAGCUGUGUGUUUAUGAUGUGCUGACUGCCAUGUCUCCUCUGUUAUGCACCAAUCUGGGUUCUUUUUCAUUGAGAUGUGUGCACAUUAUCAAUUUGGAGAUUUGAUCGAUUCCUGUGAGAUGUUUAAUUUAUCGAACAUAACCUUCUUUGAUCUAUCUUCAAGUGUCUGGAAUUUGUGUCCCCGGAGAGCGGUUAAAUUACCUCGUUUAGGUGUUCUCCCUACAGAAUGUGUCCUCUCAUAUGGGUUUUUGGUCGUAUAUGCUUGUUACCAUAUUGAACAAUCUCUUUUUGCUAAAUGGCUGAGUUUUACUUGUUUGGAGAGGAA